rnacentral:misc_RNA from 1 species
GAUGAAGAACGUAGCAAAAUGCGAUAAGUAAUGUGAAUUGCAGAAUUCAGUGAAUCAUCGAAUCUUUGAACGCACAUUGCGCCCAUUAGCAUUCUAGUGGGCAUGCCUGUUCGAGCGUCAUUUCAACCCUUAAGCCCUGUUGCUUAGCGUUGGGAGCCUACAGUACUGUAGCUCCCCAAAGUUAGUGGCGGAGUCGGUUUCACACUCUAGACGUAGUAAUUUUUUCUCGUCUGUAGUUGAGCCGGUCCCCUGCCGUAAAACACCCAAUUUAUCAAGGUUGACCUCGGAUCAGGUAGGAAUACCCGCUGAACUUAAGCAUAUCAAUAAGCGGAGGA